GUUGGGGGAUGGGAUGGGAUGGGUGGUGGAGAGGUCUGUGGGGAAAGCGUGGCCGAGGACCCCUGAGUCUCAGAAGUGAGGCUUCCAAGGUCGUGCAUGAAGGCAGGAGGCGGACAGGCUGGGCCGGGGAUGAGCAGAGCCGGCCCAUGGGCCAAGUGCAGGUCGAUGUUCCGAUGAUGGCGGUGCCCGUUCGGCAAAGCCUGGGGGGCAAAGACCGUGGCUACCUUUUCCGCAAAACUUACCUAGGGCUAUUAGUUUAGCAGAUAUCUAUUGACCUGCCGCAGACUGAGGUGCUGUAGUACCGAAGAGAAAUCUCAGCCUCUGUGGCGCUCAUUUUAGUGGAAGAGGCAGGCGCGAGGGUUGGUUAUGAGGAAUCCAUGAAAACAGGCCAUGGAGAAGCUCUCGGUGACUUAGCUUGUGACGUUGGAUAAUGGACAGGGUACACGGGAUCGAUCCCUGGUCUGGGAAGAUUCUACAUGCUGCAGAGCAACUAAGCCUGAGUGCCACAACUUCUGAAGCCUGCAAACCCUAAAGCCCGUGCUCCUCAACAGAAGCCGCCGCAAUGAAAGGCCCACACACCACAAUUAGAGAAUAGGCCCCACCUGCUGCAACUAGAAAAAGCCCAUGCAGCAACUAAGACCCAGCACAACCAAAGACAAAAUAAUAAAAGGAAAAACUAAAUAUCCUCUUAUCAUCUCACAAUUCUGCUCCAAGGUAUUUACCCAAAUGUAUUAAAAACUUAGGUCCACACAGAAACCUGCACACAAGUGUUUCUAGCUGCUUUAUUCACAAUUGCCAAAAUUUGAAGGCAGCCAAGAUGCCCCUCGAUAAAUGAAUGGAUAAACAAACCGUGAUAAAUCCAGACAAUGGAAUGUUAGCACUACAGAGAAACAAGAUCAGACCAGGCAGCCCAAUUCCCACAACCGUACUUCCACUGCAGGGGGCAUGGUUUUGAUCCCUGGUCUGGGAAC
ensembl:lncRNA